rnacentral:rRNA from 1 species
CCACGGGUGAGUAACACGUAUCCAACCUGCCGUCUACUCUUGGACAGCCUCUGAAGAAGAUAAUACAAGAUGGCAUCAUGAGUCCGCAUGUUCACAUGAUUAAAGGUAUUCCGUAGACGAUGGGGAUGCGUUCCAUUAGAUAGUAGGCGGGGUAACGGCCCACCUAGUCUUCGAUGGAUAGGGGUUCUGAGAGGAAGGUCCCCCACAUUGGAACUGAGACACGGUCCAA